CGCGGAGGCCGACAGGAUUCGUUGGCUACCGUCCCCGCUGCCGUGCACUGGGUUAAAAACGACAACGAACACCAACCAUGAAAGAUCCAAGUCGCAGCAGUACUAGCCCAAGCAUCAUCAAUGACGAUGUGAUUAUUAACGGUCAUUCUCAUGAAGAGGAUAAUCCAUUUGCAGAGUACAUGUGGAUGGAAAAUGAAGAGGAAUUCAACAGACAAGUUAAUAGAAGAGGAGUUGUGGGAAGAAGAAUUUAUUGAACGCUGUUUCCAAGAAAUGCUGGAAGAGGAAGAAGAACAUGAAUGGUUUAUUCCAGCCCGAGAUCUCCCACAAACUAUGGACCAAAUCCAAGACCAGUUUAAUGACCUUGUUAUCAGUGAUGGCUCUUCUCUGGAAGAUCUUGUGGUGAAGAGCAAUCUGAAUCCCAAUGCAAAGGAGUUUGUUCCUGGGGUGAAGUACUGACAUGUCUGAGCAGCCGGCCGCUUUGGGUGGAUGUAGCACAGUUUCCACACUGGGAAGGCAGUGUUAGAAGACUCCAUUGUAAAAGCUCUCUCUCGUCACUGUGUUACACUUACGCAUUGCCAAAGUUUUUGUUAGUCUUGCAUGCUUAAUAAAAGUGCUGAGACUGUUACUAAGUAAGAAGCUGUCACACAGUUACUGAAAGUAGAAUUGGCCGCAUGGCUUGAUGUAAAGACAGCAGGAAGAAGCACCAGUCGAUUGUGACAAAGAACCAAAUUAAAUCACCUCCAAAUCUCACUGAAUUGUCUGUCUUUGAGGCUAAACUGGUCCCUUAGGAUUAGUUGACACUUUUUAAUGUCUACACGUUGUAAAAAAAAUAAGUAAAUAAGUAAGUUUAAAUUAAGUUCUGAUUGUUAAACAGAUUUCUCAGUUGCAUUUGUCCAUCAAAAAUAACCUUUUCUGGAGAAAAUCUGUUAACUUUUAAAGUAAUUUCACAAGAAUGUCUUUGCCUGAGGUUACAAGGUGGUGGUCAGAUGGGAUCUAGUCUGUCUGACUUUUGCCUGGUGUAUUAUCAUGUUAGGAAUGCUGCGUUCUCCUAGUGUUAAGCUUGAGGAAAUACAAUUGGAGGCUUGCGUCUUCUGAAGAUUGAUUGCAUCAU
rnacentral:lncRNA from 1 species